AUCUGUGUUGGUAGUUUGCAGAAACGUAUUUGCAGCACAAAGACUUCAGUGCGGUAGAAACAACACAAGAGGCUAAUACUGCGUUUAGAAGACAUAUAGCAAUUCUUCUAAUGAAGGAGUCAGAAAGCGUGGAGGACUACUGCAUAUACUGCAACUGUAUCAACUGUGAAAAAGAAAAUGAGGAUUGCACGAUGGUCCAGUGUGAUUCUUGCAAGAGGUGGGAACAUAUACCCUGCAUUGCAGAAGGAAGCAAUCAAGAAAACCUGACAGAUGAGAAGAAAGAGUACAACUGCAAGAAAUGUGCAUAGUUCACUUCAUUACCCCCCAAAAAAACCCAAUAGAAAAACCCAUAGUUUAAAUGCCUCUUGUUCAAAACAUAAAACUAUAUUUCGUUGGGUUGCAUUAUGUAUAAUCAGAAUUUAAUAAAACAUGUUUUUUACUUGAAAAAAUUAUUCUCUGUA